CAUGGAUGUCUGGCCCAUCACUGACUACUUCAAGCAGCAUACGUAAAUCACGCUUUCGAGUUACAAGCAGCAUCACUGUUCUCUCUCAUCUUUGCUCACAUUGCUCUUUGUGUUCCAGAGGCAACUUUUUGUGUUUGUCUGGCCACCUGAGAAACCUGUGCUGUUGUACACGCAAAGGCUGUUUUUUGGUGCCCCUUGCCAUUGCUACGCGUUAUCCUUGGCCUUGCUUCAGAUUCUAGGCUGGUUCUUUUUCCCAUUUCAAAUCUUCUGUUUUUAUUGGUGAUACCUUGUGUUUACUGGUGACCGAGAUGUAAUAGUACCGUGCUUACUUUUGUCCUCGUGUCUGGAAAAAAAAAAAAAAAAGUCAGUAGAAGGAGUGAUUGUGUGUGUGAGUGUGAGUGCAUGUGCGUGUUUCAGGAUUUCAGAGGCCGGGAACUGCAAAGUGUCCCUGAACCUCCUCAACUGCUGCAGCUCUCCCCCGCUCCCAGCUUGAAUCUGCUCUUUGCAGGUCAUCAUUUUCUGACGAUCAGGGAGCCCCACAGAACUGGUGUCUUGCGGUGGGUAACCAACCAGAAUGGACCAGGCAAAAAUUCCAGCAGUGGACACACACCUAAGACAACAAAGUUUACUUUAAAAGAAUUGAAAGGGGCGAGCUUAAUUUCAUCAAAGGAACAUCAGGAUGAAUUGUUGAAAACCACAAAAAGCGAUGCCAUUUAGAUCGCCUCCAAAAUGAAUGCUGCCAGCUGUCUGAAAAGACACUUGGGUGCUGGUGUCCAUGCCCGAGGGUAAGGCUCUUCUUCAUCUGAGGCCUCCUAGGAAACUAAGAAUUAGGGACUAACAUGUGUGAGAGCCAAAAUUAAGAAAAAGUGAGAAAAAGUACGGAAUUACUUGUAAGUCAGAGCCCAGAGAGACCAUUUGAGCGAAGAUUUUUCCAGCGCGCAUGCACACGUUUUCAAAUUCAGGGCUAGAGAAAGCAGAGGGAUGUUGAGAACCGACUUCAUCAGAAUCGAGCGAACAAACGCUCAGACUUAGAAGCAUGGAGAAGAGGUAGGAGGCCCUGUGCUUGAAAGAAGCCUGUGGUGUCAGAAGGUAUUUUACAGCAAAGAGGUCCUUUUGUGAAGAGGGGAAACUCUUUUUUAAUUACCAAUGUUCAGUUUACUCCAUGUUCUUCCAGAGUUUAUAAUCUAAGACUUGUUAAUUUGGCACAAAUAUACAUAAAUCACUUCUGUCCAGGGGAGGAAAGGGAGGAUGGCGGUGUCAGCAAGUUUUCAGUAGUGGUGGAAGUGAAUGAAUACAUUUAUGAUUUUAGUCAUCGUGGGUAAUUCUAACACCCUUAUUGUUUAUUUGAGGAUGUAAGGUGACUAAAUAAAUCUGAAUCACAACUGUACUUUAUUGAUUUUGCAGAGUUUAGAGGAAGAUUUAUGAGACAUGGAACCUUCCAUCGGGUUUGGAAGAAAGUAGAGGGAAUGCGGAGAUGCCAGACCGCCACUAAGACCCAUGGACAAUCCCGUACUCACACUCCUUUAUCGAACUUUAAGAUUUAUCAGUAAUAUGCUGCCUUUGCAAGAUGAAAACAAACUAAUGCCAAGAAGGCAUAUUCUUCGGUAUUUGGA
rnacentral:lncRNA from 1 species